CCAGCCAAGAUGCAUUUCCCCGUCUGAAGUCCCUCCACUCGUCUUAGAAAACAUUGGAAGUCCAACGAUCUUGAUACUGUCUCCAUCCAUGAACAUGUGAUUGGAGUAGAGCCCCUCAUCCAGGUUAACAUGGUAUUUGUCUGGGUAUAAGAGCCUGUAAGGUAAAUACUGAUUCUGUGUGAUGCCGCCUGCAAACCACCAUGGCCGGGCACACGGAGCCCAGCACCCGAGUUGCUGAGCCUUCAUUCCAAGCUCAAACUUUUCAGUUACCAAGUACAUAAACUAAGGGGGACAUUUGCAAAUGACAUCUCACAUGAUACAAUUCUGGCUUUAUCAUUUUAUAUUCACUGGGUCAUCUCAAGCUCCCAUGUACAUUGUGUGGGGUGGGGGAGGCUGGGCCAUGGUCAACCAUGGACUUUUCAAGUUACAAA